rnacentral:lncRNA from 1 species
AUGAUUUGUAACGUAUGUGUUGGAUUAUGUAGUUUACGGAAAAAAAAAAUUAAUGAUUUUACGGAAAAAAGAAAAUAGAAAAAAAUAGUUUAGACUGAACCAACUAGACCGGUUUGGUAGGUUCUUUUGUUAAAACCUACCCAAACGUUUUUUAACACCCCUUUAGCAUUUUGUAAUACAUUACAUACCUUUGAAAUCAAUAAUAUUACUACGAAUUUUAGUUUUUGCUUGAAACAUUAUCGAAACGGUUUGUCACAACAUACCCUCAAAUAAAACACACACAUGCUUGUUUCUUGAUUUAUCAGACAAAACCAAACCAAACGGAAAAAAGUAGAAAACUUUCAUUGGCCACUCGAUAAGACUUGAUCCCACUCGAUUGACAUUAUUCAUUCAUAACAACAUCACGAACAUACCUCGUGUAAGGUUACCUAAGAUUUUGCUUAAGUAACUAGUUGCCAGUUUGUGGACGAUUUGCAGAAUGAUACGAGUUAUGAUUAUCCACUUCUACGCCACUUUUUUCAUCUUCAGUAUUUUCUGGAUUCUUUGUUUGUCCAAACCCGACCUUUCACCCAAGAUAUAUAUCCGCACUAGUGGUUCCUGAGACUAGCACUAGGGCUACAAAGAUCACGGGCCAUGUCUUCUUCAAAGUAAUUGCCAUGAAGUUUACAACGAACACCGAAAAGAUAUAAAAACUAUCAUAAAAAUAUCAUUUUAGCAAGUUACACAAUUGAUGUAA